AAAAUCAUAUUUCAUAGGAUCAUUUCUCUAGUAUGAUUAGAGGUUCAAUCACCGAACCUCGCAGAAUACCCAACCACGAUGAUGCGAGAUGGGGUUCCUUUCUGAGCGUGAAAGUGGCUCUAAGGUAUCUUUCGGGGUGCUGCGAAGCCGUUGAUGAUCGCACUCUCUGGCUAUUGUAGUCGGGAGAUGGAAGGGAGUGGU